GAAGGACAGCAUCACUCUGUGUGUAUCUAUGCUGCUCCUAUCCCCAGCGCCUUUCUCAUGACAGAUGUUCCAGGAUCAGAUUGAGACAGAUGAAUCAAUGGAUUCACACCAUCAGCCCUCAAACACCCAUGUCUUAUGACUUCACUCCUCCCUGAUUCCAUUUCCAUCGACUAAAUGUGGUCUACAUUUGAAUGUGGGGUCAUGGUUAUUAAUUACUCCUCAGAGUUCAGCUGAAAGCCCAGUGGGAUAAAAAAGAGGAGGGGUGGACUCAGGGGGAGCGACGGCAGAGCACGCAGACAAGAACAAAGGCCUGCCAUGAGGGUUCAAGCCUCCCACUGCUAGAGACUGGAACACUGUACGCUCUGAAGACAGAGGUUAGGACCACCUAGGCAGAUUUCCCUCGGGGGCUAUUAUCACCCAGGAGAUAAAAUGAUUUUCAGACACAGGAGCUUCCACUCACACUCACACAUACACUCACAAACACAUGGAGGUAUAAAGUAUUUUAUCAAGGAUAAAACGCUUAUAAGAGGGUUUCUAUUUCUGUCGUUGACAUGACUGUCAUAUAUCCAAGAACAAUAAUCCUGAUUCAUCUUUUUUCAGAGAACAAGUUAAGACAAAUUUAUUUAUAAACUUUAUCUGAAAAAUAUUAUGACAUGGGUUUUAAGAGUCAAUAGGACCUGCUCCUAGUUGAUGUGUGGGACAGAUAGGAUAAUCUACAGUUAAGUUUUACCAACAUGUUUAUGAUACAUGGAUUUGCUGUAAAUGUCCUAAAACUGUGAGACCUUGUGCUGUUUUAGGUUACCUGUCUGUGUUUCCUUAAAAAGAAAGGAGAGAAUAACAGCCGAUCAGCCAACCACUGCUUACGCUUGAAAGUACCAAUAGGCAUCGAUAACAAUGUCCUGAGGUCCUUCUAUUUGUGUUGUCCUAGCUGUGCAGCUCAAGUGCCAGCAUAUACGCGGUCUUCUUAUUUGUAAUGUCUCUUUUUACGAUGCCUCUCAACUUUUCUCAUAACAUCAAACAGCCCAUAAACUAAAAUACGUUGAAAAUACUGUACAUCUUUACAUAGACAGGAUUUAACCUAUAGCUGAGGUUAAAUCUCUCAAAUAUUCACUUCAUUUCUCUUUCCCCCCUCAAAUAACAACUCACCAAAAACCCAUUUAUGUUGGUUAUAAAAAAGUUGAGGAUAUUAAGACCUGACUUUAGUCUUUUUAUAUAAAGAAAUGAGAAUAUAACAGUUCUGAGUUUAUGUGUAGGAUGCCACAAAUUCUCAUUCAUAGUUAAAGAUCUUCAACUGUUAUGAGCACAAGGGCCUACAUUUCCAAAAUCCAUACUGGCUUUUUGAUAUCUUUUCACUUCACAUCAUAGUGUUCAUUCAAACAAUCAAUCAACACGCUGUGCACCUCUGAAGUGACAACAGUGAUUUACAGUGACUUACAUUUUCACAGCCCAGGUCUUAAAGUUCAAAAAGACUGUCGGGGAAAAUUUUAAGAUGUGGCCUGACGUUUUAAAAGUCAUUAUUCUACUUAAACUUAAGUGAGUACAGAAACUCAAAUGAGGAACUGUAAAGACUGAACCAAUCAUUUUCCAUUAGACAAAAUAUUAACUCUGGUUUUCCCAAACUGAUUGUAAAAAAAUUCAGCGUUAAACUCUUUGCUUCUCCUCUGUCCCAUCUGUUACCAGCUCUCAAUAAAAUCAUUAAAGUGUAGCCUUUAGCACCCUAAAGGCCUGUGUCACACAGCUCAUCUGCUGGGGCUGCAUGACUUAGAAAUGUGUCAGUGUAGCUGUCAGAUUGUUUACUCGUGCUUGAACCUGUCUCAAAGUAAAAACUAGGGGGUGUUUUUUGCCUCUGUCACAUGUCAGUUUAGGUGACAUGUCAAGCGGAGCAGCACAGAAUUAACAGAUUAUCUGAUCAGUCCAUUAGUGAGUCCAAAAGGAGAGGGUCUGGUUUUUAUGCAAAAAUAUCAACAAUUAUUGGUGUUUGAUUCAGCUUCUAUGAAUUUAUGAUAGAAAGGGUGGUUGGUUAUUAAUCAGGACUCUCUGCAAAUUGAUCAGACGUCAAUUAUGAUAUCUUUUUCAGCUUUGGUUAUGAGAGCUCCAUUUCAGACUCAGGAGUAGUCAAGAAAAGUCAGCAGCUUUUCUAAAUGUUAAGUUGUUGUUUGCAGCACUUUUAAUUUAUUUCAAGUCAGUUAAGAUCCAUUGAAAAGUGAAAAUCCUGGACUUGUCAAAAUGCAUCUGUUUAAGGGCAUCUGCGGUCACUAUUAAAAAGAUUCUGGGAAAACUCUUUGAAACCUGAAAGUUUUUUUUCAACCAGAUUUCAGCAGGAAAUCUGUAACCAUCACAAGAUUCAUCGCAAUUUCACACACACUUCUACAGUGAUCAGUCACAGACAGAACAAUGAAAACCCUAAAGGAGUUGAACCUUCAACAAACUUCACCUCAAUCAGCCACCAAGGAAUUCAAAUGUGUGGUUGAUCAACUGAGCUGGCUUCAGAUUUCAGACAGCGGGAGACCACUAUUUAGGGAAAAAAGCGUCUAUGGUCAUAGUUAUCAUUCCUUUUCCCCUUUAAGUUAAAAAAAAAAGAUAAUUGUCAUGAAUUAAAAUGUGUUUCACACACACGUCGAUGUCCAAACUGUAUUUCAGUCUGUUGAAAACCGGUUUUAAUCAGGUUUUCACCUUAACUGGAUUUUAACACAAGUUUUCUAGUUAUUGCUCCCCAGAGAUGGGAAAGGCGAAGAUAAUUUGGCAUAGUCAUUUAAAAUCCACUUCAACUCAAAUAAUAACAAACUUUAGGUGUUAAGUUAUGAAAAAUCUUCUUAAUUGUGUAUAUUGUGUAAAAGAUGUCUCAAACAGAGACGGAUCAGUGACUUUAAAAACCAUGUAUGAGAACAUAAAACUGAACUUUUGUCUCUAUUAUGUUUGAUUGUGUAUGAAACUGUAAUGUGGAGCUGUGAAGCAUUAUUUGUUUCAGAAUUGUUUAAGCCUAUUCCUUUUCUCUUGAUUUUACUUAAAAUAAAAUAAUAAAACCACAUCUAUUGUUGUAUUGUAUAUAUACUAUCUCACCAUCUAUGGAUUUAAAUAAUCCAGUUUAAUUUACACACUGUCAAAAAGACAACUUCUCAGAUGAACCACUUUAUUGGUGACUUAACAGUUUUAAAAAUUGCAUUUCUUUUGUUGACGGUAAAUGAAUGAAUGAAUGAUUUUAUUUCGGUAUAAUAUGACUGAAAGGGUGUAGGCAGAUAAAUCUCAGAUAUUAAGAUUUCCAACAAACCGGGAACACAAAAUUAGAUUUCCGGCCUAAAGUUGAAGAAUUUUUGGGAAAACAGCCCUGAAUAAAAUCCUGAAGUCCCUUCGGGCAUCCUUUAAUAAUUUGAUCCCUAAAUAAGUUGUUCAGUCAUGAAAGUGUAGCCUAUCUCUUUUUGUUUUCUUCUACUUUACUUUAAAACGGUGGGGUCAAAAGCAACAUGACACCGAGUUUUUCUCAUAUAUAUAUUUUUCAAGGUGUUUGUGGGCUCCUGCUACUUAUGUGUCAGAUGAUCAAACGUACAUUAACCUCAGUGUGGUGUUGUUGUAAAAGUAACUUUUCUCUUCACUCCACUCCUCAGGCUCCUGGAGAAAUGCUGAUGCAGGGAAAAAGAGAAUCCCGGUCAGUGAUUGGACUCAUUAUUCUCAUCUAAA